GCAUGCAAGUUGAGCGUACUCCGCAAGGAGAAGCAGCGUAAGGGGCAGUAAGGCAUGGGUACCUACCUCGGGUUCGGGUAUAGCCUGUAGAGAUACAGGGUAAUCCCCGAUGAUGUCGUAAGACCAAAGCUCCGGCGACCGGAGAGGGGCCCAUGUGAUAUUAGCUAGUUGGUGGGGUAACGGCCCACCAAGGCGAAGAUGUCUAGCGGGUGUGAGAGCACGACCCGCGCCACUGGCACUGAGACACUGGCCAGACACCUACGGGUGGCUGCAGUCGAGGAUCUUCGGCAAUGGGCGCAAGCCUGACCGAGCGACGCCGCGUGUGCGACGAAGGCCUUCGGGUUGUAAAGCACUGUCGAGGGGGAGAAAACCGCAAGGUUGAUCUAUCCCUGGAGGAAGCACGGGCUAUGUUCGUGCCAGCAGCCGCGGUAAGACGAACCGUGCGAACGUUGUUCGGAAUCACUGGGCUUAAAGGGCGCGUAGGCGGGCUGUCAAGUCCGGGGUGAAAUCCUCCCGCUCAACGGGAGAACGGCCUCGGAUACUGACGGCCUCGAGGGAGAUAGGGGCACGCGGAACUGUGGGUGGAGCGGUGAAAUGCGUUGAUAUCCAUAGGAACUCCGGUGGCGAAGGCGGCGUGCUGGAUCUCUUCUGACGCUGAGGCGCGAAAGCCAGGGGAGCAAACGGGAUUAGAUACCCCGGUAGUCCUGGCCCUAAACGUUGAGAACUAGGUUGUAGACUAGACAUGGGUUUACAGCCGAAGCAAAAGUGCUAAGUUCUCCGCCUGGGGAGUAUGGUCGCAAGGCUGAAACUCAAAUGAAUUGACGGAAGGGCGAAUUCCA
rnacentral:rRNA from 1 species